rnacentral:rRNA from 1 species
GCGGUGUCCCACACCGACCUAGAGGAGCCUGUCCUAUAAUCGAUAAUCCACGUUACACCUCACCACCCCUUGCAAUUCAACCUAUAUACCGCCGUCGCCAGCCUACCUUAUGAAAGAACUAAAGUAAGCUAAGUAGUUAAUUACUAGUACGUCAGGUCAAGGUGUAGUAUAUGGGGUGGAAGAGAUGGGCUACACUUUCUAUUUCAGAAUAUACGAAUGGCACAGUGAAACCUCUGCUUAAAGGCGGAUUUAGUAGUAAGAUUAACAAGAAACUUUAUCUGAAACCCGCUCUGGGACGCGCACACACCGCCCGUCACCCUCAUCACAACCACAUAAAACCCUAAAAUAUAGAGACCCUGCAGAACAGAUGAGGAAAGUCGUAACAUGGUAAGCGCACCGGAAGGCGCGCUUGGAGUAGACAAAUAGUAGCUUAAUACAAAGCAUUCAGCUUACAAUUGAAACAUGUUAGUGAAAUACUAACCUUUUUGA